AGGGUACUGUAGUUGCCCCAUUCCAGUUAUUACUUUAGUUGCCCUCCUCUGUACAAUCUCCAGCUCUGCUAUGUCUGCCUUGUUCACUGGAGGCCAGAACUGUACACAGUACUCCAUGUGUGGUCAGACUAGUGAUUUGCAAAGUGGCAGAACUAUCCUUUGGAUAGGUAAUCAAUAUCAGAUCAGUGGGGGUCCGACACCUGGCAC